UAUACUUACUAUACGUACCUUCUCCAUUUUCAUGCAUUAAAUCAUAGAUCUGACAGAAGUCGCAAUGUUUUAAUGUUGGCAAACUCUUAUUAUUUUUUCCCCUAUUAAUCCAUGUAAGAUAAACUUAAGCUCUUUCUGUUCAUGCGAAAACUAAUUAACCUAUUUUUUAAUUCCACAUGCUGUUGCAUGAUCUAGUAGAACGUACAGACUUUUGGUAUAUAUGUUGUUUUUUGUGAUAAAGUAUAUAUUUGGUGAAAAAUAUGCAGUCGAGUGAUGAGGAAGAAGUAGAAGAGGGAGGAGAGAAGAAGAAGAAGAAAAAGAAGAGUUUGAAGGAGAAGAUUCACAAGGAAGAGGACACCUCUGUGCCGGUAGAGAAGAUUGAAGAAACAGUUGUUGAGCCAGAGGAAAAGAAGGGAUUCCUAGACAAAAUCAAAGAAAAACUUCCAGGCGGCGGCCACAAGAAGGCGGAAGAUCAGGAAUUCCCUUCUCCUACUCCUCCUCCUGCUCCUCCGGCGGCAGUUGAGUCAUACGCCACCGUGGAGGGAGAGCCAGCCAAGGAGAAAAAGGGUAUUCUGGAAAAGAUCAAAGAGAAGAUUCCUGGGUACCACUCCAAGACUAAUGAUGAAGAUAAGAAAGAAGAAAAAGAAAAAGAGUGAAAGAAAAAAGCAAGUUGGUGGUAUUAUUAUGAUUGUGGGGUUGGUUUUGGUUUGUCUUGGUUUUGUUAUAUGAUUAUGAUUAUGAUUAUGAUUAUGAUGGGGUCUAUUGCUUUUGCUUUUCUUUAAAUUAUGCAAGUGCUUGGGUGUAUUAAGUUUGUUUUCAACAAGUCUAUCGAGUUCAUAUUUAGAUUUUAUGCGACUUGUAUGUAGCAUAGUACGUAAUAUUAUUAAUGAAUUGGUUACUUUGCUUUGAUUUACG
rnacentral:lncRNA from 1 species